GGGCCGGUGGUCUAGUGGUUAUGACAUCGCCUUGACAUGGCGGGAGUCGCAGGUUCGAAUCCUGCUCGGCCCACCA
rnacentral:tRNA from 1 species